rnacentral:ncRNA from 1 species
UCCCCUCAAGGGGAGCGAUUAAAAGGGAAUCAGGUGAAGGUCCUGAACAGUCCCGCUGCUGUGAGCUGUCCUUACGGAGAGCCGAACAAGAAGCCACUGAGGUCUAAAGAGUUUCAAGUUACUUUGUUACUCUGUUACUUUGUUACCUUGGGAAGGCGUUCGGGCUCGGACAGCAAGUCAGAAGACCUGCCAUUGUU